rnacentral:rRNA from 1 species
UGCAGUCGAGCGAAUGGAUUAAGAGCUUGCUCUUAUGAAGUUAGCGGCGGACGGGUGAGUAACACGUGGGUAACCUGCCCAUAAGACUGGGAUAACUCCGGGAAACCGGGGCUAAUACCGGAUAACAUUUUGAACCGCAUGGUUCGAAAUUGAAAGGCGGCUUCGGCUGUCACUUAUGGAUGGACCCGCGUCGCAUUAGCUAGUUGGUGAGGUAACGGCUCACCAAGGCAACGAUGCGUAGCCGACCUGAGAGGGUGAUCGGCCACACUGGGACUGAGACACGGCCCAGACUCCUACGGGAGGCAGCAGUAGGGAAUCUUCCGCAAUGGACGAAAGUCUGACGGAGCAACGCCGCGUGAGUGAUGAAGGCUUUCGGGUCGUAAAACUCUGUUGUUAGGGAAGAACAAGUGCUAGUUGAAUAAGCUGGCACCUUGACGGUACCUAACCAGAAAGCCACGGCUAACUACGUGCCAGCAGCCGCGGUAAUACGUAGGUGGCAAGCGUUAUCCGGAAUUAUUGGGCGUAAAGCGCGCGCAGGUGGUUUCUUAAGUCUGAUGUGAAAGCCCACGGCUCAACCGUGGAGGGUCAUUGGAAACUGGGAGACUUGAGUGCAGAAGAGGAAAGUGGAAUUCCAUGUGUAGCGGUGAAAUGCGUAGAGAUAUGGAGGAACACCAGUGGCGAAGGCGACUUUCUGGUCUGUAACUGACACUGAGGCGCGAAAGCGUGGGGAGCAAACAGGAUUAACC